AUGAAUACCGUUGUUGAGAUGAGGACUUGAUCAAUCCGGAUGUCAAAUUUUAUUAAAUUGAGUUAUGACUUUUUGUUGACAAAACCAUCAAAACCCUAAAGCAGCCGUCACCUCUCUCUCACUCUAACGACAACAGCAAACUAAUUUCUUCUUCUACUAUUUUCUUUUCUUUCCCUUUUUUUUUAAACAAAGUGAAGGGUUGCGAGAAUGUAAUAGUCGGGUGAAGUAACGAUGGAUGUGGUGGUUAUUGGUUGUUGACCGGUUGUGGCUCACAGUGAUCAGUAAGUCGGAGGUAGUGCGGUGGAGGUUGAAUGGUAGUUGACGGUGUUAGAGAAUGACGGUUGUGGGUGGGGUUUUAGUGUGUGUAGGUUUGAGUGGAAAAGGGUGGUGUAGCCGAGUACCAGGUGUAGGGGUGGACUGGUGAUGGAGAGAUGGUGAUGGAGAGAUGGUGACAGAACUGUGUUGACCGGAACAGUGGUGGUGCGGCUGUGACCGACGUUGAUGAUCGGAAGAACGGGUUCAAUGUGGUUCGGUUUAGUAUGGGUUGGUAGUAGAUCUAUUAGAGCCGAUACAAAUUCAAAACAUUUCAAGACUAAACGGCAACAAGAAACUUGAUGGUUUAGUCAGCGGUGGUUUUGGUCGAAGUCAGUUCACCGGAUACGCGGCGGCGCCGGAAUAACUUGCCGGAACCCUAAAUGAUGGCCGGAAGUUAGCCGGAGACGGAAUGAUUCAAAACAGAAAAUGUAUAUGUAUUUAAUUUGUUAUUAUAUACGCUGAUAAAUCCGUUUUCUACCCCUUUCUUUUUAAAAAAAUAAUAAAUACACUGGUCGGACGAAACCGCCGGAGUAACGACCCCGGAAAACGGUGACUUACCGGCGAAUUUACUAAAUACGCCGGAAGACUUGAACUCGCGUUCAAGAUUUAAAAUCGCCGGAAAUUAAUUUCGCCGGAAACUUGCCGGAAAACCCAAAUUCGCCGGAACUUUCAAUAAAAUCGCUGUAUUCAAAAUAAAAUCGCUGUAUUAAAAAAAAAAUCGCCCAGAAACUUCAAAAAACUCGACUAAAACCAUCUGAUUUGAGCUGAAACCUCUAAAAAUGAUAUGAAAUGACUAUGAAUCUUUCAAUUAAUGCUAGUCUCAGCUCUCAAUCAGCAAACAAAUACUUUAAACCUUUUGAAGACAAGAUUUUU
rnacentral:lncRNA from 1 species